GAAAAAGUGGCGGGGCUACCCGCCGCCUUUCGCGAGGUCGGGAUGGUAAGAGCCCGCCCAUGCUCACGUGACGUUGCUUUUUUCCUCACUUCCACCAUGAAUUGAGACGCUUGUAACUAUUUGGCCAGGCUUGAGCUGGGCAAUAAAUUGUGUCCCUAGAAAACAGUCUGGAACAUCCAUUUCUGAAGAAGCCAACCCAACCAGACUCGCCAUUCUCAAGAGACUAGAUGUACCGACAAGGAAAUUUCCACAGAAUCCACAUUAUAGUGCUUGUUUCAAGCAACAAAUGAUAUUCCAGAAAACUGACCCAGACAAAAGGACAAACUUUCCAUAUUUACUGCAUCAGAUUCUCUUCUAAGGCAUACGUAGACUGAAGUUGAUGCUUCAUAACAGAAAAAUAAAAAUAAACUGCUGGCAAAGAA